rnacentral:rRNA from 1 species
AUUUAUACAGUGAAACUGCGAAUGGCUCAUUAAAUCAGUUAUAGUUUAUUUGAUAGUACCUUUACUACUUGGAUAACCGUGGUAAUUCUAGAGCUAAUACAUGCUAAAAAACCCGACUUUUUGGAAGGGUUGUCUUUAUUAGAUAAAAAACCAAUGCCGCUUCGGUGGCUCUUUGGUGACUCAUAAUAACGUUUCGAAUCGCAUUGCCUUGUGCUAGCGAUGGUUCAUUCAAAUUUCUGCCCUAUCAACUCCGAUGGUAGGAUAGAGGCCUACCAUGGUUUCAACGGGUAACGGGGAAUCAGGGUUCUAUUCCGGAGAGGGAGCCUGAGAAACGGCUACCACAUCCAAGGAAGGCAGCAGGCGCGCAAAUUACCCAAUCCCGACACGGGGAGGUAGUGACAAUAAAUAACAAUACAGGGCCCUUUUGGGUCUUGUAAUUGGAAUGAGUACAAUUUAAAUACCUUAACGAGGAACAAUUGAAGGGCAAGUCUGGUGCCAGCAGCCGCGGUAAUUCCAGCUUCAGUAGCGUAUAUUAAAGUUGUUGCAGUUAAAAAGCUCGUAGUUGAACCUUGGGCUUGGUUACCUGGUCCGCCUUUUUGGCGAGUACUGGAAUGUAAUCGAGCCUUUCCUUCUGGUUAACCAUUAUGCCCUUAACAGGUGUAGUGGCGAUCCAGGACUUUUACUUUGAAAAAAUUAGAGUGUUCAAAGCAGGCCUUUGCUCGAAUAUAUUAGCAUGGAAUAAUAGAAUAGGACGUUAUGGUUCUAUUUUGUUGGUUUCUAGGACCAUCGUAAUGAUUAAUAGGGACAGUCGGGGGCAUCAGUAUUCAAUUGUCAGAGGUGAAAUUCUUGGAUUUAUUGAAGACUAACUACUGCGAAAGCAUUUGCCAAGGAUGUUUUCAUUAAUCAAGAACGAAAGUUAGGGGAUCGAAGAUGAUCAGAUACCGUCGUAGUCUUAACCAUAAACUAUGCCGACUAGGGAUCAGGAGUUGUUCUAUUUAUUCGACACUCUUGGCACCUUACGAGAAAUCAAAGUC